rnacentral:rRNA from 1 species
UACGUAGGGUGCGAGCGUUGUCCGGAAUUAUUGGGCGUAAAGAGCUUGUAGGCGGUUUGUCGCGUCUGCUGUGAAAUCUCAAGGCUCAACCUUGAGCUUGCAGUGGGUACGGGCAGACUAGAGUGUGGUAGGGGAGACUGGAAUUCCUGGUGUAGCGGUGAAAUGCGCAGAUAUCAGGAGGAACACCGAUGGCGAAGGCGGCAUCCUGGACCGACAUUGACGCUGAGGAGCGAAAGCUAGGGGAGCAAACGGG